AGKAUUCAGAGAGGGAUGCAAGAAGCUUUCCUUUUCCUUCUUUCAAACAGUCCCAUAGCCUCAAGUGGAACCAAAAUAUCAGAAGUAUGGAAAUAUUGGAACAAGUGGAGGAGUGGGACAAAAACUGCUUUCCUGGAAUAGAGUAUUAUGGCAGAGCGGGGUCAGAAGCAGAUGAGGCUAAACAGUGACCCAAGAGUGUGCCUUUAUACGUACAUUUCUUCUUGUUCCUCUUCAGUCAUAAAAAAUUUGGGUUUUAAAUUUCUAAUUUUACUGUAAAAACAACUAUUUUUCUAUCCUGUGGGCAGCUGGUUUAAGAUUUAAGUUACAAUUGAGUGAUUGUUUUUUUCUGUUUUAUUUGUAUUUWAGUGCCGUCAGUAUACUUAGUUCCAGUUUUAAGUAAAGCUCAUGUUACUCGAGAAAGAUUGCAACAGAGUAUGUUUGUUUUUUGGGAACACAAGAAACUACGGCUUGCAGCUAGCAGGAAAGAUGUGACGGACUGAGAACUUACUAAGGUGUAUUUAACAGGAGUAUUUUGAAAAAUACAUUUUAAAAAAAGCUAUUUACAGAGUUUACUGGGGACAAGGAAUUCUAAAAUUAAAAAGGUUUCAAAGAAAACAAGUCAUCUUCAGAUCCCACUGGGAAUCUUUCAUCUGACCUCACCCGAGAAAAAAUAUUUUUACGUUAUUUAUAAUGCCAGAUUCUUGGAUUACAAAUUUGCCAUAUUUUUUUAGCAGUUUUUCUUUUCCAUUUGAUUUUAUCAUUAUCCAGGUUAUAUUUUACAAUUACAGAUCUCUUUUCUGAAGAAAAAACAUUCCUUAGAGAUCUGGAGGUGUAGAUUAGUUUAUGGAGGAAAGAAGGAUUAAUGUGUUUGAAAUACUCGCUAGGCAAUUUUAGUUUUGUAUGAAGUGAUGGAAAUGCUUUAGUAAUCAUUCCUGAUUAAUUAUAAAAUGCAAUGAAAUCAAUAGGCCUGCUCACAUGUUUCAAAUUAAGUAUAUGAUCAAGUUCUUGUCUGAAUCUGACAGGCUGUAUGCUUCAGUAGACCUAAACUCU